CUACGGAAGGCAGCAGUGAGGAAUUUUGGACAAUGGGCGCAAGCCUGAUCCAGCCAUGCCGCGUGCGGGAAGAAGGCCUUCGGGUUGUAAACCGCUUUUGUCAGGGAAGAAAUCCCUUGAGCUAAUACCUCGGGGGGAUGACGGUACCUGAAGAAUAAGCACCGGCUAACUACGUGCCAGCAGCCGCGGUAAUACGUAGGGUGCAAGCGUUAAUCGGAAUUACUGGGCGUAAAGCGUGCGCAGGCGGUUGUGCAAGACAGAUGUGAAAUCCCCGGGCUCAACCUGGGAACUGCAUUUGUGACUGCACGGCUUGAGUGCGGCAGAGGGGGAUGGAAUUCCGCGUGUAGCAGUGAAAUGCGUAGAUAUGCGGAGGAACACCGAUGGCGAAGGCAAUCCCCUGGGCCUGCACUGACGCUCAUGCACGAAAGCGUGGGGAGCAAACAGGAUUAGAUACCCGGGUA
rnacentral:rRNA from 1 species